rnacentral:rRNA from 1 species
AGCGAACGCUGGCGGCAGGCCUAACACAUGCAAGUCGAACGAACCUUUCGGGGUUAGUGGCGGACGGGUGAGUAACACGUGGGAACGUGCCUUUAGGUUCGGAAUAACUCAGGGAAACUUGUGCUAAUACCGAAUGUGCCCUUCGGGGGAAAGAUUUAUCGCCUUUAGAGCGGCCCGCGUCUGAUUAGCUAGUUGGUUGAGGUAAUGGCUCACCAAGGCGACGAUCAGGAGCUGGUCUGCGAGGAGGCUCAGCCACAUUGGGACUGAGACCCGGCCCAAACGCCUACGGGAGGCAGCAGUGGGGAAUCUUGCGCAAUGGGCGAAAGCCUGACGCAGCCAGGCCGCGUGAAUGAUGAAGGUCUUAGGAUUGUAAAAUUCUUUCACCGGGGACGAUAAUGACGGUACCCGGAGAAGAAGCCCCGGCUAACUUCGU